UACGUAGGGGGCUAGCGUUGUCCGGAUUUAUUGGGCGUAAAGAGCGUGUAGGCGGCCAGGUAGGUCUGCUGUGAAAACUCGAGGCUCAACCUCGAGACGUCGGCGGAAACCAUCUGGCUAGAGUCCGGAAGAGGAGAGUGGAAUUCCUGGUGUAGCGGUGAAAUUCGUAGAUAUCAGGAGGAACACCGGUGGCGAAGGCGGCUUUCUGGACGACAACUGACGCUGAGACGCGAAAGCGUGGGGAGCAAACAGG
rnacentral:rRNA from 1 species